ACAUUGAUAGGUUGUAAUCAUUCACUGCAGUAUCUUUGUACCUCACUAGGUUUUGGUUGAGACAGUCACAUCUCAAGGAGAGAUCACAUAUCGUGCUCCCCAGCAGGUUUGCCACAGCAAAUCAUCUUGCAGCAAACAGAGCUGAGAGGAAGAGACCACAGCAUAGGCCUGUAUUUAUCUCAGAUAAACUGGUGUCACUUGGUAGAACAGACCUAAAAAAGCUGGACUUAGGAAUACACCAAGAAUACAGGAACAGGAUUCGAUUCAUCCAAACUCCUCAAUCGAUGUCGUAUCUUUGAGACAAGUUAUUUUCUACAGGAAUUUGCCAUUUGUGGCUCUUCAGACCUCACAGACUGAAAGGACAGGGGAAGAAAAAAAAACAAUAAGGUUUUUUCAUAUACUGAAGUGUUUUCAUUGGAACUGGUCUUUGUCCAGUAAGCUUUCACUUGCAGAGCAAUCUUGAAGCAACUGAAAGGCCAGAGUUAACAGGAGACCCUGGGAUCUUCAUAUGCUGAAUCUGGUCUAGUUUUUUUUUCAGCAGGGAUGAUCUGCACCUAGCUGGACAAACAACAUACUCCUGGAGUUCAUCACCCCGCCUGUGGUUGCUUUCAUAACCAAAGCAUCCUUCAAACAUAAUCUGCUCUGAAACCCCCAAGCUAAACCUCCUUUGCUGCCCCUAUUACUUUCUCUCAGUAUAAGACAUUUGUCCCCAUUUGGCAACCCUUGCAUCCUGUCUAGAGCUGGAAUUAUCCGGAUCACAGCAAUUACUUUGCUUCUCUGGUACAGAUCGUGGUGUUCCUUGCCUAAAGAUGGCAUUUGUACCAAAGUAGCUGCCACAGUGGCUAACCACAUUUGGAAUCUGUUCUCAACACUCCUCUCUAGCUGAGAGUUGUUCCCUGUCUCUUUUAUACCUUAGUGGAAUAAUGAGCCAUUUGGACCCAUAAACUAUUUUGUUAAAUAGCCCUCUCCUCAGAAAGUUAAGACUAUGUCUUACGUACUACAAUCAGUUUAAAGAGCUCUUGAAGCAGAGUUCUAGCUAACAAUGUCAAUUGAUUUAGAAGUGGUACCGCAGCACUUGCAUUCUGAGAACAACUGAAUAUUUCUCUAAUGGCGGUCACUUCAACUGGUUUGGAAACAAUCUGUAUUCAACUGUGACUGGCUACUAGCCAUAUGUUUUUUCUUUUCUAGGGCAUCCCAGCUGAAUGUGCAUAUUACAUAUUCUGGACAGGAAUACAAGUUCAAAUUCUUGACAAAUACAGUAUAACACCAGGUGACCUUAAAGCUAGUAUAAACUAGGUA
rnacentral:lncRNA from 1 species